UGAUGUGAGGGUGGCCUGGUUGUGACGUCUGUCACUCCAUCGAUCACCCAGCCUGGCCGGCUAGGCAGACGUCCAUUUCCUCCCUCAUUGCUUCUGAAGCUGCACGCUGGGUGGAAGAGAAUGCCCUUCUCUGAUGGAGGAGGACCUUUCUUCUGCUGACAGUAUAGGAUUAGCCGUGUUCCCCUACUAGAACCUCCAGAUAAGCUCUGAGGAGAGCUCAGCGGGGCCUCUCCACAGUUUGCUCACCAGAAGAGGCUCCCAGUAGUUU
rnacentral:snRNA from 1 species